AUCCUCUAUUGUAUUUCUUAUAAGGAUUUCAUAGAUGCUUUGCUAGAUGCUAUUUUACUAUUUUACUUGUACGUACCAUGGAGGCAUACAGAAUGAUGAAUCAUCAUAGCGUGAUAAUUAGUUUGCUCGUAAUUAUGGAUAAAGAACCUGCAAUAUUUUUAGGAGUUGGUUUUAGUAGCAUUUUAUCAAGUAUCUUUUAAAAGGAAAGUGAAUGUAUGAUUUAAUUCUCUAGCUGCUAAUUGCACUACUAAAGCAUGUUUGUUAAUGCUUUACUUAGUGUUGGUCUGGAAAAACCCUUCUAGUAUUGCUAAAACAUAUAUAUUGAUUAAAUUCUAUUGCAUAACUUCCGUUUUCAUAGUUAUACAUGUAUGGUCAAUCAAAUAUAGAGUUCGCCAGAUGACAUCAUCUUGGAACAUAGAUGUUCUACUCAUUACUGGGGCAUAUGGUUAACCUCAGAUGGAACUGAGAGCAAGUGAUAACUUGUUACUGUCGCCUGUGAGAUAGUUUGCUGUAGAAACCCACUGUAGUGGGGAACUAGCAUUCCAACUUUUACAGUAGAUAAAUUACACAUUUUUCUUUCAUUCAUAUGAAUGUUAGUAUAUUGAAUUGAGUGAUUGAAGCCAAAGGUUGAUUUCACUUUGCAUGUUUUGCAAAUGUAUGCCUUGCAAAGAUGAACCAACUGAACACUGAUUGCAGUUUUUAACUAUCCCACUAUGAUGCUAUAGUUUGUGAAGCUGAUCAUUGGCAACAGAUUGCUGUCUAAGUUAUUUGAGAUAUUGUGAUUUUUCUUUGCUCCAUACUGAGUUAGUUUUGGCAAAGUUUGGAAAUAAUGGUUGAAAUGUAAUUUAUAAUACAUGAGUAAUACUUUAAGUGGGACUUAUUACUGCAUUUCUUUAUGAUAAAAGUAUGCCUCUGUUGGAAUUCAUCAUUGUAGAAGCAUAUUUGCUAUUAAUAACACAGUGUUCAUGAUGAGUAUGCUUACGAGGUGCAAUUACUCAUUUGAGAUCUUGUGUAUGUACAAACAUAUCGGACCAUGAAAUGCAAUUUUGGGUACCAGACCCAUUCUGGUCAAUGGCUGGAUUGUCAUUGGUCCAGUCCAUGCCAGCAUACAAAUAAAUGGGUAUGCCAGCAUAGUCUUUAGUUCAAUCUUUAUCUGCUGGAUGGACUUCAUGGAGAUAAAGUUUGUGUCAAAUCAUGUGACCUUUGGUCUUAGAUACUUCCCUUAUGUGAGUUUUACAUCAAUUAUAAAUAGAUGAUGCUUUGUGCUUUUUGCCACUAUUCUCUUCACUGUAAGGAUGUCCCAAUGUUCUUUAUCAUAAGGUUUAUAUGAGCAGUUCAUGGUAUCCAGAAAAAAAGGUCUUCAUGUGUCCAUCAGUUGUUUGUCAAUCUUGAGAUUUGAGCUGUUAACAGUCACCAUUUGUAUUACAUAGUGCUUCCCAAUGUCAUUCACCACUGCUAAAUAUAUCAUUCGCCUUGAAUUUGAUUUUAUGUACUAUCCAUCUUAUGGAAGAUGAUCCUCUUGUUACAAAAAGUCAGGAUAGUGAUAAUGCUUAUCUCGAUUUGAGUCAGGCCGACAAUCACAUAUGAGGGUCACACUUUAUGUUCCCAUGGUUUGCUAAAUUACUUAUCAAAUUUCCAAUUUCCUCUUCCUCAUUGUGAUACUACCUAGAAAUCUCAUACAAAGUAGGUGACUCUAUCUUUGGAUCAUGUUCUUGAAUGAUGGAUGCCAUGGGUCGAUAGUAAGAUUCUCGAAUUGCAUGUAUAGAAAUUCCUUUGAAGUUGAAUGACUUUGCUAUCGCCAUCCAAUAUCUUUCUUCCAUGUAAGCAUCCCUUGAUCCUCAUUUGCUUCUCACUUUAAGGGGAAUGUUGAAUGAGCAAGACAUAAGAUCAAAAAAGACUUUAUCAGGAGUGACCUUUUGUUCAAGGAGCUCAAAGAAAGCCCCAUAUGCCCACCCUGCUGCCAUUUUUACAUAUCUCAUGAGAUGUGCUAGACUUCUGGAUAACUGACUUGGGAAAGGAGUGGUCGGGAGUUCUCCUCUCCCUCAGAAACCGUCUUGGAAAGUCAUCUCCUCAUCAAGUUGCCUUUCCUUAAACAACUGUGGUGAACUUGGGAAUAUGAGCUGCUCUUCUCAGCACCUCCUCUUCCCUCAGGUAACCAACCCUAGCUAACUUGGUCAAGGAUGGCACUCUUGUUUAAAACCUGAGCACCACUGCCAUUGGGUUGCCUAAUUGAAGGAUCAGCUGAACAGAGAUGGUCAAACACCAUUUUGACUACCACUACCAUUGUUAUGCUCAUAUUGUGAAGAACCAUCAAAUCCAUGUUGAUAUAUCAUGGCCUCUUGCAUAUAUUAGUGCUUGGGUGAUAUAAGAACUAGUUGUAAUAUCAGGGUCCUCAUCAACAUUGUUUCUAUAAUCCUCAUAAUUAUCAUGGAUGGGAGGGUUAGAUGCCUGUUACAAAGCUCCUCCCUUUGGUCUUUCUGUUUUAGCCAUAUGGUGAUUUGAGCAUCCAACUUAACUCCUAAAGCCUGUCCAAUUUCUUGGGUACCUUGGUGGAUUUGGUCAGUGGACAUUUGAUCACUUUGGGAAAUUUAUUAGCCAGAUGGUACUUUAGUCAGGUUAUUUUCCCACCUCGACUAACAUACACAAUAGAUGCUUCAUGCCUCGGUGUGCCAACCCACAAUUGAGGAGAUUGUGUUGUACGUAAACUAUUUAGAAUUUCAUCAGAUAGAGCUGGAAUAACAUGUUUCUCACUAUUUUUUCAAAUGUUUAAUACAAUUGAUGAUUAGCUAUCUAACUAUAAAUCCACCUUUAGUGCUUUUCUAACGAUUGCUUCAUCCACUACACUAACUCAAAUUUUGGAAGAAUCUUUUAGCAAUAUCAUGCCAUGAAUCUGAAAUAAGUUUUGAUUUCUCUUCAUGAUGCCAUUACCCUCUACUUGUUCACCAUUGUGCAUCUCACUCCCCUUGAUCAUUAGAGUAGUGUGGCGAUGGGGAAUUAAGAGAGGGGGAUGAUCAACCAAUAUCCUAGAUUCAGAACUUUUUCAUACGUUAGGAUUCUUUCCACAUGAUUGUAUUCUACUCCAUAAUAAAAUUUGGAAAACCAUCCAAGCCUCUCUAUUUUUGACUUGAUAUUGAAAAUAUGACCUGCUUCCAAACUAGAUCUUUGCAAAUGUAGGUUGGAUUCAUGUCUAAUCCAUGCAAUUCUAUGUCUGAUCCAUGUGGAUCUAGGUCUUUUUUUUUUUGGAUUUUUUUGUAUUUAUGCAAUUGUAAAACAGAUUGGUGCAAAUCUACAAUGGAGUAGUAUGGACCAUGGCUAAAACUACAUAAAUGUAGGCUGGAUCUAGUUUAGAUCUAAGCAAGUAUAGGUUAAAAUUAUGUAUUCUUGCGUAGAUUCCAUGUAGCCAAAGUCGAAUGAAUUUCAUCAGAUCUUCGUGAAUUUUGGUUGGAUUCAAGUGGGGGGCAAAAUAUUUUGGUUUGUGUGGCGGUUCAGCAAUGGAUUGGUAAAUACCGGCCCACACUGGCUAAUAAGGAUGAAACUUCUUUGUUUUUUUUGGCAAAGAGUGAGUAGUGAAGGUGGUAUUCGAGCCCAGGACCUUGUGAUAAAUUGUUAAGAUCUUUACUGGAUAAACUAGUUGACACCUUCCAAAAUGUGUAGUUGAGGUUUCAAACCCUCAACCUUUGGUAAGAGGGUCUGGUUCACCAUCACCAGACCAUUGUUUAAGGUGUAGUAGAAAGUCAACAUUAGUUUAAGGUGUAGUAGGAAAUCAACAUUAGUGUUAUCUGCUACUUUCCUAGCCGCCUAGAUCAAUGGAGCCUUAUUUAUGGCCAAAUUGGUAGUAGGAAGUCAACAUUAGUGGAUAACACAUUGGUUAAUUUUCAAAAUUUGACAGAUAUUAUAAGCUAAAUAGCAAGCACAUGCCGUGCAAGUGCAAAAGAGAAGCCUAACUCUCACACGUGCUACCAUUCAUCCAUUUGACUUGAGCUAACUAUCAUGUAAAUGUGGUCUUUUGGUGCACAGGUCCCAUUUUUACUUGAACUUUAAUGAAGCCUUUCAAGUGGAAAAGAAAUGUGCUUGAUAGAGAAGAGGG